rnacentral:rRNA from 1 species
AGAGUUUGAUUAUGGCUCAGAUUGAACGCUGGCGGAAUGCUUUACACAUGCAAGUCGAGCGGCAGCAGCGGCGGCGGCGGACGGGUGAGUAACGCGUAGGCAACCUGCCCUUUGCAGAGGGAUAGCAACGGGAAACUGUUAUUAAAACCUCAUAAUACCGACAUGUCAAAUGACAAGACGGUCAAAGAUUUAUCGGCAAAGGAUGGGCCUGCGUCUGAUUAGUUAGUUGGUAGGGUAACGGCCUACCAAGGCAGCGAUCAGUAGCCGACCUGAGAGGGUGAUCGGCCACAUUGGAACUGAGACACGGUCCAAACUCCUACGGGAGGCAGCAGUGGGGAAUAUUGCACAAUGGGCGAAAGCCUGAUGCAGCAACGCCGCGUGAAGGAUGAAGGCCUUUGGGUCGUAAACUUCUGUCCUUGGGGAAGAAAAAAAUGACGGUACCCCUGGAGGAAGUCCCGGCUAACUACGUGCCAGCAGCCGCGGUAAUACGUAGGGGGCGAGCGUUAUCCGGAAUUAUUGGGCGUAAAGAGUACGUAGGUGGUUUUUUAAGCGCAGGGUUUAAGGCGAUGGCUCAACUGUCGUUCGCCCUGUGAACUGGAAGACUUGAGUACAGGAGAGGAAAGCGGAAUUCCUAGUGUAGCGGUGAAAUGCAUAGAUAUUAGGAGGAACACCAGUGGUGAAGGCGGCUUUCUGGACUGUAACUGACACUGAGGUACGAAAGCGUGGGGAGCAAACAGGAUUAGAUACCCUGGUAGUCCACGCUGUAAACGAUGAGCACUAGGUGUCGGGGUCGCAAGAUCUCGGUGCCGGAGUUAACGCAUUAAGUGCUCCGCCUGGGGAGUACGCACGCAAGUGUGAAACUCAAAGGAAUUGACGGGGACCCGCACAAGCAGCGGAGCAUGUGGUUUAAUUCGAAGCAACGCGAAGAACCUUACCAGAACUUGACAUCCUCCUGACAGGCCUUUAAUCGGGCCCUUCUUCGGACAGGAGAGACAGGUGGUGCAUGGUUGUCGUCAGCUCGUGUCGUGAGAUGUUGGGUUAAGUCCCGCAACGAGCGCAACCCUUGUCAUUAGUUGCUAACAUUAAGUUGAGGACUCUAAUGAGACUGCCGGGGACAACUCGGAGGAAGGUGGGGAUGACGUCAAAUCAUCAUGCCCCUUAUGUUCUGGGCUACACACGUGCUACAAUGGCCGGUACAACGAGAAGCGAAGUCGCAAGGCGGAGCAAACCUCAAAAACCGGUCCCAGUUCGGAUUGCAGGCUGAAACCCGCCUGCAUGAAGCUGGAAUCACUAGUAAUCGUAGAUCAGCCAUGCUACGGUGAAUACGUUCCCGGGUCUUGUACUCACCGCCCGUCACACCAUGGGAGUCGAUUUCACCCGAAGCGGGGAAGCUAAACUGGCUACCCUCCACGGUGGAAUCAGCGACUGGGGUGAAGUCGUAACAAGGUAACCGUAGGAGAACCUGCGGUUGGAUCACCUCC